rnacentral:sRNA from 1 species
CCCGCCACGCCUCUGAUUCAAGCGCACCCCGGCGGGU